rnacentral:rRNA from 1 species
CCUACGGGAGGCAGCAGUGGGGGAUAUUGCACAAUGGGGGAAACCCUGAUGCAGCGACGCCGCGUGGGCGAAGAAGUAUUUCUGUAUGUAAAGCUCUAUCAGUAGGGAAGUAGAACUGACGGUACCUGAGUAAGAAGCACCGGCUAAAUACGUGCCAGCAGCCGCGGUAAUACGUAGGGUGCAAGCGUUAUCCGGAUUUACUGGGUGUAACGGGAGCGCAGGCGGCACGGCAAGCCUGAUGUGAAAGCCCGCGGCUCAACCGUGGGACUGCAUUGGGAACUACCGGGCUGGAGUGCAGGAGAGGUAGGCGGAAUUCGUAGUGUAGCGGUGAAAUGCGUAGAUAUUAGGAGGAACACCAGUGGCGAAGGCGGCCUACUGGACGGUGACUGACGCUGAGGCUCGAAAGCGUGGGGAGCAAACAGGAUUAGAUACCCUAGUAGUC